UAAUGCUUGGGAAUCUAGCUUAUGGAGGGGGAUAACUACGGGAAACUGUAGCUAAUACCGCGUAGAAUCGAGAGAUGAAAGUGUGGGACCUUCGGGCCACAUGCCAUAGGAUGAGCCCAAGUGGGAUUAGGUAGUUGGUGAGGCAAAGGCUCACCAAGCCGACGAUCUCUAGCUGGUCUGAGAGGAUGACCAGCCACACUGGGACUGAGACACGGCCCAG
rnacentral:rRNA from 1 species